rnacentral:lncRNA from 1 species
UUUUUUUUCUUUUUCUUUUUUUUUUUUUGAGACAGAGUUUCACUCUUGUUGCCCAGGCUGAAGAGCAAUGGUGUGAUCACGGCUCACCGCAACCUCUGCCUCCCAGGUUCAAGCAAUUCUCCUGCCUCAGCCUCCUGAGUAGCUGGGAUUAUGGGCAUGUGCCAUCACACCCGCUAAUUUUGUAUUUUUAGUAGAGAUGGAGUGUCUCCAUGUUGGUCAGGUGGGUCUUGAACUCCUGACCUCAGGUGAUCCACCAGCCUCAGCUUCCCAAAGUGCUGGGAUUACAGGCGUGAGCCACCGCACCCAGUCACUGAAUAGUAUGUUUUGAAGACUCAUCCAUGCUGGAUGUAUAGCCAUACCUAAGCUCUUUACAUAUUGUUUAUGGGCAGAACACUUGAAAGAAUGUAAAUACUCAACAGGGAGCAGACUAAAUAAAUUAUGGUAUAUCCACAUAAUAGAAUAUUAUGCAGUGAUGAAAAAUAAUGAAGCUGAUGUUAGAUACUAAAAUGGUAGAGCACUAAGCUUUUUUGCUAAAUAAAAAGCAGUAUAUGACCCAUAUAAUAGUAUUCUACCAUUUGUAUGAAAGAAAAAUUUAAAUCAAGACCAACUUGUUUAUAUAUAUUUACAAAAAUAUCCAGAAUGUUUUUACAGUAUUCUCCUCUGGGAGAUAAAAUGGGUAGCUGGAAAAUUAAUUCCCCUAUCUAUUUGCAUACUUUCUGAAUUUCCUACUACUUGCAUGUAUUACCUAUUGAAAAUGAGGCUAGAGAGUGAAACAAAAUAUUGCCCAGUUGCACAGCUAGCAAAUGUCAGAGCCUGGACUCAGCCCGUCCCAGUUAUAGGGAUUUUAGGCCAGAUCUCUUUCUACAACUGUAAAGCCAAGAAGGAAUGAAUCAACAAUUAGCUUUAUACUCCAUAAUCUGGGAAAGCCUAAAAGCAUACUCCAACUGAGACUGAAUGUUGGUUUGUUCAUUUUCCCCACAGUUCCUCUUCAAGAGACAGUUUCAAUCCCACAGUUUUGGUGAAAUUCCACUGGGCCGAAACAGGGGUAAUUUCAGAAUGACCCACCACAAAGCAGGACAGGAUCCCUAAAUGACAGGCUUUGGUGAGGAUGGCACAAUACGUUCACGCUUGGGCAAAGACUCUCUGCCCCAAGUUACAUGGCAAUAAGAAAAACAUAAAAAGAGAAAAGUUAUAGUUUAGUUAAGGACAAGAGAAACACCACUCUCCAUGAAGAAUGGGUCAUCAACAGAAAGCAAAGGCAGUGGGAAGGGGUGACACUUCCAGCAUGCUGUUUGUCAGGACUGACUGAAGGCAGGCUCUCUCCUGAAAGAAAUUGCCACUGACCACUGCUUGGAGAUGAGGCUUCAUAAGAAGCUCCAGGCCCAGGCAGUUGGCAGGACUCAAGUACAGCUUGGGAGAGAAGGCAUUCACUCAAGCCUUAGUGAACUAGCAAAUUACUUCACACAAUCUGUAGAAAUCAACUCAAAAUGUAUUAAAGGCACAAAUGUGCCAGGUAAAA